rnacentral:rRNA from 1 species
AUUGAACGCUGGCGGCAGGCUUAACACAUGCAAGUCGAGCGGAGACUUCGGUCUUAGCGGCGAACGGGUGAGUAAUACCUAGGAAUCUGCCUAUUAGUGGGGGAUAACGAAUCGAAAGGUUCGCUAAUACCGCAUACGUCCUACGGGAGAAAGGGGGGAGUCUUCGGACCUCUCGCUAAUAGAUGAGCCUAGGCCGGAUUAGCUAGUUGGUUAGGGUAAAGGGACCUACCAAGGCGACGAUCUGUAGCUGGUCUGAGAGGAUGGCCAGCCACACUGGAACUGAGACACGGUCCAGACUCCUACGGGAGGCAGCAGUGGGGAAGUAUUGGAC